GGGGAUGUAGCUCAGUGGUACAGCACAUGCCUGACAUGCAUGAAACCCUGGGUUCAAUCUCCAGUGCCA
rnacentral:tRNA from 1 species